UGCAUACUUAACGGUGAUGGUACUCC
rnacentral:piRNA from 1 species